UUUGCUUGCGCCCANUUUCCAGCGUCUCGGACAUUUGUGUACAAUGCGCGCAAGCCUGAUCCAGCCAUGCCGCGUGAGUAUGAAGGCCCUAGGGUUGUAAAGCUCUUUCACUCGGUGAAGAUAAUGACGGUAACCGGAAGCAAGAAGCCCCGGCUAACUUCGUGCCAGCAGCCGCGGUAAUACGAAGGGGGCUAGCGUUGUUCGGAUUUACUGGGCGUAAAGCGCACGUAGGCGGAUUUUAGUNAGGGGUGAAAUCCCAGGGCUCAACCCUGGAACUGCCUUUAUACUGCCAGUCUUGAGUAUGAAGAGGUGAGUGGAAUUGCGUGUCGGUGAAAUUCGUAGAUAUUGCAGGAACACCAUGGCGAAGGCGCUUACUGGUCCAUUACUUGACGCUGAGGUGCGAAACNUGGGGGAGCANACAGNAUUAGAUACCCUGGUAGNUCNCGCCGUANACCAUAAAUUUACCGUCGGGGNGGUUUACACUUCGGGGGGNCAGUAACGCAUUAAA
rnacentral:rRNA from 1 species